GGAAUUUUGGGCAAUGGGCGAAAGCCUGACCCAGCAACGCCGCGUGAAGGAUGAAAUCCCUCGGGAUGUAAACUUCGCAAGAACGGGAAGAAUCAGGAAGAGUUAACACCUCUUUCGAUCACGGUACUGUUUGUAAGCCCCAGCUAACUCCGUGCCCGCAGCCGCGGUAAUACGGGGGGAGCAAGCGUUGUUCGGCUUUACUGGGCGUAAAGGGCGCGUAGGCGGCCUCCGCAAGUCGACUGUGAAAUCUCCGGGCUUAACCCGGAACGGUCAGCCGAUACUGCGGGGCUAGAGUGCAGAAGGGGCAACUGGAAUUCUCGGUGUAGCGGUGAAAUGCGUAGAUAUCGAGAGGAACACCUGCGGCGAAGGCGGGUUGCUGGGCUGACACUGACGCUGAGGCGCGAAAGCUAGGGGAGCGAA
rnacentral:rRNA from 1 species